rnacentral:rRNA from 1 species
UACGGAGGAUGCGAGCGUUAUCCGGAUUUAUUGGGUUUAAAGGGUGCGUAGGCGGGCUUUUAAGUCAGCGGUAAAAAUUCGGGGCUCAACCCCGUCCGGCCGUUGAAACUGGGGGCCUUGAGUGGGCGAGAAGUACGCGGAAUGCGCGGUGUAGCGGUGAAAUGCAUAGAUAUCACGAAGAACUCCGAUUGCGAAGGCAGCUUACCAGUCUGCGACUGACGCUCAGGCACGAAAGUGUGGGUAUCGAACAGG